UGGGGAAUUUUCCGCAAUGGGCGAAAGCCUGAUGGAGCAAUACCGCGUGGAGGAAGAAGGAUCGUGGUCCGUAAACUCCUUUUCUUAAAGAAGAAACAAUGACGGUACUUAAGGAAUAAGCACCGGCUAACUCUGUGCCAGCAGCCGCGGUAAUACAGGGGGUGCAAGCGUUGUCCGGAAUGAUUGGGCGUAAAGCAUCUGUAGGUGGUUUUUAAAGUCGACCGUUAAAUCCCAGAGCUCAACUUUGGCAGGGCAGUCGAGCACUUAGAAACUUGAGUACGGUAGGGGUAGAGGGAAUUCUUAGUGGAGCGGUGAAAUGCACAGAGAUUAGGAAGAACACCAGUGGCGAAAGCGCUCUACUGGGCCGUGACUGACACUGAGAGAUGAAAGUUGGGGGAGCGAAAGGGAUUAGAUACCCCUGUAGU
rnacentral:rRNA from 1 species